GAAUCCCGUCUUUGACACGGACUGCCUGUACAUUAUGGUGUGCUCUCGAAGAGUCGAGUUGUUUGGGAAUGCAGCUCAAAAUGGGUGGUAAAUGCCAUCUAAAGCUAAAUAUUGGCGAGAGACCGAUAGCGAACAAGUACCGUGAGGGAAAGAUGAAAAGAACUUUGGAAAGAGAGUUAAACAGUACGUGAAAUUGCUGAAAGGGAAACGCUUGAAGUCAGUCGCGUUGGCUAGAAAUCAACCUUGCUUUUGCUUUGUGUACUUUCUGGUUGACGGGUCAGCAUCAAUUUUGACCACUGGAUAAAGUCUUUGGGAAUGUGGCAUCUUCGGAUGUGUUAUAGCCCAUUGUCGCAUACGGUGGUUGGGAUUGAGGAACUCAGCACGCCGCAAGGCCGGGUUUCGACCACGUUCGUGCUUAGGAUGCUGGCAUAAUGGCUUUAAUCGACCCGUCUUGAAACACGGACCAAGGAGUCUAACAUGCCUGCGAGUGUUUGGGUGGAAAAAACCCAUGCGCGCAAUGAAAGUGAAAGUUGAGAUCCUCUUCAAAGGGGGAGCAUUGACGCCCGGACCAGACCUUUUGUGACGGAUCCGCGGUAGAGCAUGCAUGUUGGGACCCGAAAGAUGGUGAACUAUGCCUGAAUAGGGUGAAGCCAGAGGAAACUCUGGUGGAGGCUCGUAGCGAUUCUGACGUGCAAAUCGAUCGUCAAAUUUGGGUAUAGGGGCGAAAGACUAAUCGAACCAUCUAGUAGCUGGUUCCUGCC
rnacentral:rRNA from 1 species